UUUCGUCGCCUCUGCCAGGCCCAGUGCUCAGCGAUCCUUGGCGAACGGACACUGGAUACUCACAGCCCACAGCUUUUUACAACGUCUGCUGCUCUUGGUGCGCGUUUGCUUGUGAGUGAUGAAUUUGUAAUCGGCUCCUAAAAACUGAAGGUCCUGUACUGAACAGGACGAAGUGUCUCUCUCUUAAGAGAUAGUGAGAAUCUGAAGGUCACCUUCUUUCGCUCCUUAUCAAGUCGUCGUCAGCGACAUCUCUCGGCUGCCCAUUUUCGAGUCCGAAGUGUCGGAUUAAAGAAGAAGAAAAAGAAGAAGAUGAAGAAGAAGAAGAAGAAGAAGAAGAUGAAGAAGAAGAAGAAGACUGCUGGAGAAGCGCGAAGUUCCCCGGAGAUAAAAAUAAGGAUGACGCUUUUUUAAAUUAUUUUUUUAUUUUAUUUUAUUAUUUUUUAUUCCCGUCGGGUGUUUCGAGUUGAGAGUCAUGCGAGUAAUGGCGAUAUUUUGUUUCCCGAGUUUCGAUUUUUUCAUAGUUUUGGUUUUUCGUCGCAUUUUUUUUCCGUUUGUAAUUUUGACCUUUUGACAGUUAAAACUUGAAUCAU